rnacentral:rRNA from 1 species
GACCGCCUGCUAAGGUCCCGAAAGGACAGCUAGGUUAAACUAACGAGGUCUGACUGCUAAGACAGCGAGGGUGGUGGGUUGGGAGCAGCCAGUCACUUAAAGAGUGCGUAACAGCUCACUGGUCUAGUGGUUCCGCGCCGACAAUGUAGCGGGGCUCAAGCCCACCACCGAAGACGCGGCAGCGGCCCUUGCGGCCGUUGGGUAGGAGAGCGUCCCGCGUGGGGCGAAGCGGCCGGGGAACCC